ACAAACUCAACAAGUUUUAGAAGUGCGGAGUAUUUGAGGUUACCUUAAUUUCCAUCAAUGUGAUACUUGUAUUGUUUGUAUUAUUUUUACUGAAUAGGUUGUAAAGGGGUUUACUUUGACGUGAUCAUAUUAAUUCAAAGUAUUACAACUUUAAUAUCUGUGUAAUGGAAGGCAAAGACCUUAUUUGUAUACCAGGUCAGCGGCUCUGUCUAGCAGGACAGCACACAUUCUGUGGGCUCCGGCACAUAUGAGCGCCAAGGAUACAUUUACUCUUCACAAACCGGUGUUGUUCAUGUUAUCAAGCAAGAGAAGGGAAACAUCAUUGAAGUAA